CCGAUGUCAACCAUGUUGUUACAGCUGUCUGAUCAGCGUUUUUUGCCAUCGAGUUCCUUUUUGGCAGGUUUGAUGACGAGCAAAUGCAUUGGGAAGGACAGAAGCUCAGUGUGUGCAGAAGCUCAAUGCAUGUAGGAGUUUGGCUAGAAGGCACUGAAGCAAAAAGAGCGAGGGAGCUGUGGCUCUUUCAGCAUGUCUGGUUCUAAGGAGGUACUGCUGCAGGAUGCACUGAGGAUUUCAGAAGAAACAGCAUUACAUGCGCUCUUGCAGUUCAGAGGCACUUUUGUGAUGAAAGAAAGUAGCACCUCUUUAUGGGAAGAGGCCGGCACAGUCUGGAUGCUUCAGAGGAUCAUUUUCAGUGCUGAAGGGCACCUGAAGAAUACGGAAGGUGAAAAACGCAGCAAGUCUUGAGUUGCACCAACGCUGUUUGCAGCCGUGAAGUCGCUUGCUGA